AACGCACAUUGCGCCUAUUGGUAUUCCAAUAGGCAUGCCUGUUCGAGCGUCAUUUAAACCUUCAAGCUUUGCUUGGUGUUGGGUGUUGCCCGCCGUUUCUUCUGCGGACUCGCCUUGAAUGAAUUGGCAGCCAGCAUUUGGUGUGUUGGAGCGCAGCACAUUUUGCGUUCUCGGCCAUAGUAGCGGGCGUCCAGAAAGCUUAUUUCAACGUUUGACCUCGGAUCAGGUAGGGAUACCCGCUGAACUUAA
rnacentral:misc_RNA from 1 species